rnacentral:sRNA from 1 species
GACACAGGGUCAAUGUAGCUGCCACUUUUGUCACUGCAUUGCUGAUUGCCAGUCAGGUUCGCUGGAUAGAUCUGCCCUUUCUCCCUCACGGCCCAGAUGGCCUGCAGCUGCGUGCUGGGUUUGAGAGGACCAUCUUUCCAGGUAGGGAAGAUUCUUCUUCGUGAUGGGUACACACGUGGCAGGGGCCCCCAUCAGAAAUUUCAAAUAAGCUCUAAAGGUCCAUUCAUAGCAUAAUGAGAAGUGAAAUUGAAUCCUACUCUGAGAGUUGAGCUUCGGGUCUUGAGUUGCAUUAAGU